CGGUGAAUGGGGUGUGGGGCAACUAAAUUUGGUGGUGCGGGCGGGACCCUGAGGGCGGAGCGCAUCCGCGUUGCCCCGAGCAACCGUGACGUUGGCCAACGUGGCUCCGUCCCCAUGGCAACGGCACUCACAGUGCUAGCCCAGUGAUGAGGUCAUCCACCUGCCCCGUCAUAAGACCCGACCCACAAUGUCACACAGCUUCUGAUGAUGUCAUAAGACACCGUGAUGUCACCGCACAACGGCCUCUCAUAUAAUGUCUCAUGCCCGCGACGGGGUCACGCAGAAACUAUGAGGUCAUGGUGCCAGUGCUGAUGUCAUAACGCCCCCGUGAUGUCACGGCAGCAGCGGUGAUGUCAUAACGCCCCCCGUGAUGUCACGGCAGCAGUGGUGAUGUCAUAACGCCCACCGUGGGGAGCUGGUGCUCUGGCGGGGGCAGCAUACGGAGACUCCCUGGCCGCCCCGGCGCCUGGGGCCGGACAAGCCGGUGGCUUCCGAGAGCCGGGUAGGGAGCCUGCCUCAGCCCCGGGAGCCGCCUGAGCCAGCUGGCCACACUGGGCCAGCCGGCUGGAGCCAUGUCAGGCUGGCGGACCAGAGGGACCUCAUCCUCAGCUGGGCCGGCGGGACCCCAGCCCCGGCAGGUGGGCCAGGCAGGCUGGAGACGGCCAGCUCCAGCCAUGCCAAGACGGCAGGACCCCAGCCCCAGCUGCCCCGCACCAGCCCGCCUGACGGACCUCAGCCUGCACCUGCUGGGGCUGGAAUCGCCCCAUUUCUCCCUCUCAGAGCGGGUGCCAGCUGCAGCCUGUGGACACCAGCCGUGAUUGCUCAGCCAGCUCCGACGGGUUUCAAGACCCACCCGCUUUCCCCUGGGGAGCCAACACCAGGGUGUGGACCCGGGGACAGGAAGCAGCCGCCUUUUCCAAACGAAGUGUCGUUUAAUCUGAACUGCAGGAGUCAGCACAACAAGGAAAGAGAUACAGCUAUUGCUCUCUGAGCUACAGUUCAGUUGGCCCAUCUUAUCCCAGAUUACCCCCACGUCCCACUGGGACUGGGGGCUCUGUCUGUGCCCCAGCAGACUCUGUCUCUCUGACUAUCCCAUUUAUGAAUCAACCACAUCCUUCAUCGUCCUCUCUUCCCUUUCAGCCUGGUCUGACCGCUUUGGCCGGCUCUGCAGAGGGCCAGGAUACAGACGGAAGAAGAGCAAAAAUUUUAGUUCACUGGGAAUCCCAAAAAAGUCAGGGGGAAAUCAUUCAUUUUGGGUCAAACCAAAACCAAAAACUUUCUACAUUUUUGGCAAACCAAAUUUAAAAAAUAAAUUAAUUUUGAUCUGAAAGAAAAAGGAUUUUUUCAAAAUUUUCCACAAACCGUAAAGUCAACAAACAAAAAAUUGGUUCAACUGAAACAAAAACUAAAAUUUGUUGAAUUUUUCAGCAUACUGAAAAUCUGGGGGGGGUCAUUUUGGGUCAAACCAAAACCAAAGGUUUUAUUACUUUUCAUUUCAGACUGAGCCAAAAAAACUUGGUUUUGAAAUUUGUGGACCCCAAAAAGUUGGGGGGAAAAUUCUGGCUCGAAAGAAAUAUUCCAUUUCAAUUUUGAGCACUUUGCAAAAUAUUUUUUUCAUGCCUUUAAGAAAAAUUAAACCACAUUUCUAAACAAAACCAGGAUUCGCACAGAAACAUCUAAACUUCUCUUUUGGCAAAUGUCGAAAUGGAACAUUUUGAUUCUGUUCAGAAUUUGGGGAGGUUCCCCCCCCCCGCCGCCCCAACAGGAAAAAUUCAACAAAAUCAACACAAAAAUUCACAAAAGUUUUGGUGUGACUGAAUCUGCAUUUUUCACCAGAACAAAGUUUCUAGUUGGGAACAAUCUUCACAGUCGUUGGUUUCUGCAUUCUCUUGUGAGGAUCAGUAAAUAUGGGUAUUCUAUUCUAUCCCGUUCAAUUCUCUCUGUGUCCUUUUACCACGUUCAUCACUGGAGUAUCUGAGCUCCUAUCAGCCAUCAUAGACAUAGGAAAAACAGCAUAAUAACUAUUGGGAAAACAGACAAUAUAUAAUAGUCAUAAAAAUAUUACAAGCAGCUUCCAUGUGCUUCCAGGCUUAUGGGACAGAUCUGGGUCAGCAGGGAGGGGGCUGGAUACUGGGCUAGAUGAGUCUGAGGCAGGGUGGCCGUCCCCCAGGUGAAGUCUCAUUUCUCAUUUCCCCUUUCCAGUGAGAGUCGGUUUUUAGCUCAGCUUUUCCGGCAGCAGAGGAACAGCCCCAUCUAUAUGCCUGAGUUGGUAACCACAGAUUUCCUGGCACCAGGUCUGUCCUUCCUUCUGCUUCCACAACAGCAGCUGGGUAUCCUAAGAGAGAGAGAGAGAGGAUGGAUGAAAGGCCAGCCAGCUGGCUAGGCAGAUAGGUAGGUAGGUAGUUUGUUAAGUAGAUAGGUUGAUAAGUAGAAAAGUAGCUAAUAGGUAGAUAGGCUGGUGGGUAUAUAGGUGGGUGGAUGAGUAGGUUGGUAGGGAGGUACGUCGGUAGGUGGAUGGGUGAGUAGGAUGUUAAGUAGGUUAGUAGGCAGCUAAGCGGGUUGGUAGGUGGGUCGGUAGCUGAGUUACCGUCUGUAAUAGAGCAGGGUCAGGUAAUAGACAAGUUUGCUGCUGAUUUCGAUAAAUGCCCGAGUGAGGCCACCUGUGGGAGCAGGAAAACUCUGAGAACCUGGGAUAGAUCCCUGCAACCCCUGCCCGAGCCAGCUAGCCCCUGCCCUGGGGCUGGGUUGGAGCUGCUCCCCCUAGAGGGGAAAGGCCCCAUGCCCCAUUCCCCACCCCCUGAGCCAGCCAGUCCCCACCCUUGGGCCAGGUCAGAGCCUGUGCCCCUAGGGGGGAGGGGCUCUCACCUGUUUCCGGUGGGCUCAGCAGUACAGCGUACAACCCAUGGGGGUUGGAGCCGAGGCAGAUAAUCCAGGGGCCCCCGUCCUCACUCAGCUCAGGGUGCUGAUGGCCUCCUCCCCCUGGGCUCAGGAGCUGACCUGCAGGGCCCCCCGCAAGCUGGUCCCAGCCAAGGCCUCCACAACGUAGCUAAUGGUCUGUGUGGCACAGACGGGUGGGCACUCACCCAUGGGAACACCUGGCGAUAUGCCAGGAGGAAUCCAGCGGCCAUAACGCCCCCUUGCAGACCCAUGUGAUGACAGGUGGCAGCUGCAGAGCCUGGGCCGGGGCCGGGAGCCUGGCUUCAGUGAGGGGGGAGCCAGUUAGCAGCUCGGGGCUUGGAAGUGACUCUUGCUUGAUUUGCUGUUUCCCGUGGUCAGUUUAGAUGAGCUAUUACCAGCAGGAGAGUGAGUUUGUGUGUGUAUGGGGGUGGGGGGGAUGUGAGAAAACCUGGAUUUGUGCAGGAAAUAGCCCGACUUGAUUAU